AGCAGCCGCGGUAACUCCAGCUCCAAUAGCGUAUAUUAAAGUUGUUGCAGUUAAAAAGCUCGUAGUUGAAUUUCGGGAUCAAAUUGUCGGUCGUGCCUCGGUACGUACUGGUAUUAUUGGUUCCUCCCUUCUGAAGAACCACGAUGUCAUUAAUUUGGUGUCAUGGGAAAUCAGGACUGUUACUUUGAAAAAAUUAGAGUGUUUAAAGCAGGCUCGCGCUUGAAUACAUUAGCAUGGAAUAAUGAAAUAGGACGUUUGAUUCUAUUUUGUUGGUUUUCUAGGAUUCGACGUAAUGAUUAAUAGGGAUAGUUGGGGGCAUUAGUAUUCAAUUGUCAGAGGUGAAAUUCUUGGAUUUAUUGAAGACUAACUACUGCGAAAGCAUUUGCCAAGGAUGUUUUACAUUAAUCAAGAACGAAAGUUAGGGAUCGAAGACGAUCAGAUACCGUCGUAGUCUUAACCAUAAACUAUAGCCGACUAGGGAUCGGAUGAUGUUUAAUUUUUAUGUACUU
rnacentral:rRNA from 1 species